AGGUGCAGAGCAAUGGGUGCGAGAGGACGGCUGCAGCAGACCGUGCAGUGGCCGAGAGACGAGGAGAGGUAUUUUGGCUGGAGUGGAGCAGAAGAGAGUGAUGCAGUGAGGCAGCCCCAGACAGAUAUAGACAAGACUGCAAGCCCACACCAAAGGACCCCACACACACCCUUCACCACCGCGCCAAACAUCAUAGAUAAGUCCGCUGGGGCCACAAGAGCCACAUGGCGAGAAGACUGAUGCCAUCUCUCCAGGGAUGCCUUCCUGACCGCUUCUUCGCACUGGAUACAUUCCUCCUCCUCCUGCCGCUCCUUCAGUCAUACUGACAAAUUCUCUAGUCUCUCCAUGAGGCAAGUGGACAAGUCCUCCUUUCUUCACACAGCCUGUUUUGGACAAAGAGCAACAUUUCAGGGCCCUGGCACUAGUCCACUCGCAGCCAAACCUGCUCCCCUAGGUGCUUCCCCACAAAGACUAACCCCAAGCUGACAGCCUCAGCCAUGUGCACAUGCACCCUCCUAUCUAUCUGUCUAUCUAUCUCUCCAUUCAUUCAUUCAUUCAUUCAUCCAUCCAUCCAUCCACCCACACACACACACACACAGAGAACAGAAGAAAACAAAACAGAAGAAAACAAAACAGAAAACAGAAGAAAACAGAAAACAGAAGAAAACAAAACAGAAAACAGAAGAAAACAGAAAACAGAAGAAAACAAAACAGAAAACAGAAGAAAACAGAAAACAGAAGAAAACAAAACAGAAAACAGCAGAAGAAACCAGAAAACAGCAGAAAACAGAACAGAACAAAACAGAACAGAACUCUAGCAACCUAGCCAACAGACAACCCCUCACCUUUCACAUAUUCAACCCUUCUCCCAAAAACUUCCUCCAGGCACACCACCCAGUACCCACACGCUCCCGUCUGUGCACUACUGCACAAGACUUGCACACCUCCACCAGUCAGCAUCUCUCUGGGGACGAGGGAUCCGAACGCUGGGAUGCCUCACUCUGACCGACCGAUGCUGCAGCUCCUCGCUCGGACCGCAAGAACCCUUCCCGGCUGCAAUUCCUCUCCUGGGGCUCGGUGACCUCCUCCAGUUCUCCACCGCAGGGAUUGCCAAGGACAGCCAGAAGGAUGGAAGCAGAGAGCAUUAAUAGGCUGCACACAGGAGUAUUUUUCCGAGUCGCAGAGCGAGACGGCACAGUGGAGGUGAACUUCAUCGUAAUCCCCGAUGAACUUGAAGACGGUGACGUGGAAGCGACAAGUCAAUGACACCCCGUUCUCCUCAAUGCCGAUGGUGUUGUCCUUCAUGUUUUGGCACCUGCAUAAAUGGCUCGUGCUCACCAAGGCCCUCACAGAUGCAACCUCAUCUCAGGAGCCUCUGCCCUCUCCUGUCCCUCUAAGUCCCCUCUCCUGCUUCCCAGAGCAAUGCCAAUAAAGUGACCUUAUCCA